GGACUACUGGGGUAUCUAAUCCCGUUCGCUCCCCUGGCUUUCGCGUCUCAGCGUCAGAAAGGGUCCAGGCGCUCGCUUUCGCCGCGGGCGUUCCUCACGAUCUCAACGCAUUUCACCGCUCCACCGUGAGUUCCAGCGCCCCCUACCCCCCUCCAGCCCGGCCGUAUCGGCGCCCCUUCCCCGGUUGAGCCGGGGGAUUUCAGCGUCCGACGCGCCGGGCCGCCUACACGCGCUUUAAGCCCAGUGAUUCCGAAUAACGUUCGCACGGUUCGUCUUACCGCGGCGGCUGGCAC
rnacentral:rRNA from 3 species